UGGGGACUAUUGCACAAUGGGCGCAAGCCUGAUGCAGCCAUGCCGCGUGUAUGAAGAAGGCCUUCGGGUUGUAAAGUACUUUCAGCGGGGAGGAAGGUGUUGAGGUUAAUAACCUCAGCAAUUGACGUUACCCGCAGAAGAAGCACCGGCUAACUCCGUGCAAGCAGCCGCGGAAAUACGGAGGGUGCAAGCGCUAAUCGGAAUUACUGGGCGUAAAGCGCACGCAGGCGGUCUGUCAAGUCGGAUGUGAAAUCCCCGGGCUCAACCUGGGAACUGCAUUCGAAACUGGCAGGCUAGAGUCUUGUAGAGGGGGGUAGAAUUCCAGGUGUAGCGGUGAAAUGCGUAGAGAUCUGGAGGAAUACCGGUGGCGAAGGCGGCCCCCUGGACAAAGACUGACGCUCAGGUGCGAAAGCGUGGGGAGCAAACA
rnacentral:rRNA from 1 species